CAAUAGCGUAUAUUAAAGUUGUUGCAGUUAAAAAGCUCGUAGUUGGAUUUCUGAUCGAGACAUCAGGUCGGGUCCGAGAGGAUCAUGUACUUUGAUUUUGUUUUGAUCAUCCUUGGGGAGAGCAUUUCUGGCAUUCAGUUGUCGGGAUUGGGAUCCUCAUCGUUUACUGUGAAAAAAUUAGAGUGUUCAAAGCAGGCCUCGGCCUCUGAAUACAUUAGCAUGGAAUAAUAAGAUAGGACUUUGGUGGUCUAUUUUGUUGGUUUGCACGCCAAAGUAAUGAUUAAUAGGGAUAGUUGGGGGUAUUCGUAUUCGAUUGUCAGAGGUGAAAUUCUUGGAUUUAUGGAAGACGAACUACUGCGAAAGCAUUUACCAAGGAUGUUUUCAUUAA
rnacentral:rRNA from 1 species